CCUACGGGUGGCUGCAGUGGGGAAUAUUGCACAAUGGGCGCAAGCCUGAUGCAGCCAUGCCGCGUGUGUGAAGAAGGCCUUCGGGUUGUAAAGCACUUUCAGCGGGGAGGAAGGCGGUGAGGUUAAUAACCUCAUCGAUUGACGUUACCCGCAGAAGAAGCACCGGCUAACUCCGUGCCAGCAGCCGCGGUAAUACGGAGGGUGCAAGCGUUAAUCGGAAUUACUGGGCGUAAAGCGCACGCAGGCGGUCUGUCAAGUCGGAUGUGAAAUCCCCGGGCUCAACCUGGGAACUGCAUUCGAAACUGGCAGGCUAGAGUCUUGUAGAGGGGGGUAGAAUUCCAGGUGUAGCGGUGAAAUGCGUAGAGAUCUGGAGGAACACCGGUGGCGAAGGCGGCCCCCUGGACAAGGACUGACGCUCAGGUGCGAAAGCGUGGGGAGCAAACAGGAUUAGAUACCCCAGUAGUC
rnacentral:rRNA from 1 species